GAUGAACGCUGGCGGCGUGCCUAAUACAUGCAAGUAGAACGCUGAAGGAAGGAGCUUGCUCUUUCCGGAUGAGUUGCGAACGGGUGAGUAACGCGUAGGUAACCUGCCUGGUAGCGGGGGAUAACUAUUGGAAACGAUAGCUAAUACCGCAUAACAGUAGAUGUUGCAUGAUAUCUACUUAAAAGGUGCAAUUGCACCACUACCAGAUGGACCUGCGUUGUAUUAGCUAGUUGGUGAGGUAACGGCUCACCAAGGCGACGAUACAUAGCCGACCUGAGAGGGUGAUCGGCCACACUGGGACUGAGACACGGCCCAGACUCCUACGGGAGGCAGCAGUAGGGAAUCUUCGGCAAUGGACGGAAGUCUGACCGAGCAACGCCGCGUGAGUGAAGAAGGGUUUCGAAUCGUAAAGCUCUGUUGUAAGAGAAGAACGAGUGUGAGAGUGGAAAGUUCACACUGUGACGGUAUCUUACCAGAAAGGGACGGCUAACUACGUG
rnacentral:rRNA from 1 species